AAUGCAUGAUUUAAUGCAUGACCUUGCAACUUUAGUGGGUGGGAUAGGGAUCAAGCUGAUAAAUUCUAAUGCAAAGCAGAUUGAUGAUAAAAACCUAUCACCUAGCACAUGGUAAUGAAGUAUAAUUUAUCAAGCGUUGGAUGCCGAACAAAUUAUCUACUAUGUUCCUUUGGAAAUGAGUAAUGUAUUUGAGUAUGUAGGUAUCUUUUUGUCAUUAUGUGUUUUCAAUCAAUGAAUCAACGAUCCAUAGUAGCCAUUUUCCUUUUAUUUCCAAUAAUUUAGAAUUUAUUUGCUUUAUGGUAAAAUUUUGAGGAAUUUUUGUGCACCUUGUGUUCUUGACAAGUGACAUGA
rnacentral:misc_RNA from 1 species